GGGUUUCAGUGCUGCAUUGUUGAGUUUUGUAUGAACUAAUCUAGCUUCACUAAAAAAAAAAAUAAAGAAGAAGAAAAAAAAGAAAAAGAAGGAAAGAAAGAAGAAAUAAAGGGAAAGAAAAAAAAACGACAGCUUUGAACAAAAGUCCACAGCCAGUGUGUUCCAAGUCCCUGCUCAGGGCUGACUGUGGCAGGGGACACUCUCCUGCUGGCUCUCUCUGUCCACACUUAGCUGGCUCCUGUCCUCAGGUGCACGGCCACACCCUCGCACCCAACCUUGAUCCUCUGAUGGGGAAGGUCCCAGGACUUGUCUGCUGGGACAGGCCUCACCCCCAAGAGCUCUGGGCAGUACCGAGAAGCAAACCUGACAGAUUUCUCCAGAACAGUGGCCAUCCAUGGGAUGAGUGAAAGCCUCUUUCUAUUCCAAUUGGCUGCCUCAGUAAACCCAGGAGAGCCAUGGUGACCACAGUAGCUUUCUCUUCAAAAUGACAACUAUCUCAUCUCUUCAGACUAAAUUAACUCCAUCCACAGUCAGAAGAAAACUCACAAAAUGGUGGUCAGGAAGACUGAUCUCUAGAACAUUCACGGGACGAAAGGAUGAGAGAAAAAAGGUGUGACAGGUGACGUUUCUCUUUUCUUCCCUCAUUUGCUUUCUGUCAUGAUUUCAAUAUUCUGUAUUUCUAGAAUGUUCUACAGCUUAUAAAUAGUAAAUUUUUAAAAAAGUCA
rnacentral:lncRNA from 1 species